AGACUCUUCGACCCUUUCUGAGAGGGUUUUUGGUCUCUUGAGACCUUUAUUUCAUUGUUUGGGAGGGAAAGGGUUUCAAACUAAAUUGAUUAACUUUGGGACAGAGUCUGGGCUUCAGAUCUGGUUUUUGGCCAUGUUUAGUUGUAUUCGAAGGUCGUGGGUUGCGGGGUUGUGGAUGGGAACGUGAGACGGCCACCCGAAACCAGUUUGAGGGGGUUCCGAUGAGUUUAGGGUUUGGGUCCAAU
rnacentral:lncRNA from 1 species